rnacentral:rRNA from 1 species
GACGGCCCUAUGGUGUAAACUGCUUUUAUACACCAAGAAAAAAACACUACGUGUAGGUGCCGACGGUAGUGUAUGAAUAAGCAUCGGGCUAACUCCGUGCCCAGCAGCCGCGGUAAUACGGAGGAUGCGAGCGUUAUCCGGGAUUCAUUGGGUUUAAAGGGUGCGUAGGCGGUCUUUCAAGUCAGUGGUGAAAUCUUGCCGCUUAACGGUAAAAUUGCCAUUGAUACUGAAAGACUUGAGUACAGUUGAGGUAAGCGGAAUGUGUAGUGUAGCGGUGAAAUGCUUAGAUAUUACACAGAACACCAAUUGCGAAGGCAGCUUACUAAACUGGCAACUGACGCUGAUGCACGAAAGCGUGGGGAGCGAACAGGAUUAGAUACCCUGGUAGUCCACGCCGUAAGCGAUGCUCACUUGCUGUUUGCGAUACACAGCAAGCGGCCAAGCGAAAGCAUUAAGUGAGCCACCUGGGGAGUACGAUCGCAAGGUUGAAACUCAAAGGAAUUGACGGGGGCCCGCACAAGCGGAGGAACAUGUGGUUUAAUUCGAUGAUACGCGAGGAACCUUACCUGGGCUUAAAUGUAGAGCGACAGAUUGUGAAAGCAGUCCUUCUUCGGACGAUCUACAAGGUGCUGCAUGGUUGUCGUCAGCUCGUGCCGUGAGGUGUCGGGUUAAGUCCCAUAACGAGCGCAACCCUUAUCGUUAGUUGCCAGCGGGUCAAGCCGGGGACUCUAGCGAGACUGCCGCCGUAAGGUGUGAGGAAGGUGGGGAUGACGUCAAAUCAGCACGGCCCUUAUGUCCAGGGCUACACACGUGUUACAAUGGCCGAUACAAAGGGCAGCUACCAGGUGACUGGAUGCUAAUCUCUAAAGUCGGUCUCAGUUCGGAUCGAAGUCUGCAACCCGACUUCGUGAAGCUGGAUUCGCUAGUAAUCGCAUAUCAGCCAUGAUGCGGUGAAUACGUUCCCGGGCCUUGUACACACCGCCCGUCAAACAAUGGAAGCUGGGGGUACCUGAAGUCUGUAACCGCGAGGAGC